UAUCAAACAAAUAUUUUCCAUAAAUUUUCACGUCUUAAGGGCAUAGCUGAAAGUGCAUUACAGAAAGAUAUAACUCUGGCUGUUGAGGGUUUGUUAGGAGUUUUCUUUACAAUGGCUGUAUUAACAGAUGAAGCAAUUGAUGUUGGUGAGGUAUUUAUUUUUUUUACUAUAAGAUUUCUUCUAUAUAAUAAAGCAAGCAGUUCAUCUGAGGGCUGACUAGCUUGUCUUGUGUACCAGCUUCAAUCUCCGAGAUGUGAUUCUGAUCCACCUAUUAUUAAGUCUAUCGAGAAAACAACACAUCUCUGUCUCUCAAUGGUUGAUUCAUUUUGGUUGACCAUACUUGAUGCAUUGUCUCUUAUUUUGUCAAGGUCACAAGGAGAGGCUAUUGUGUUGGAAAUACUAAAGGGAUAUCAAGCAUUCACACAGUGCUUUAUAGUCUCCUGGUUCGAAACGCUCUGAAUUAUCAGUUGAUCAAAGAGAAAGCAUUGUCCUUACCCCCAAAAAUGUGCAGGUGGUUGGAAUUU